rnacentral:rRNA from 1 species
UACGUAGGGGGCUAGCGUUGUCCGGAAUCAUUGGGCGUAAAGCGCGUGUAGGCGGCCCGGUAAGUCCGCUGUGAAAGUCGGGGGCUCAACCCUCGAAUGCCGGUGGAUACUGUCGGGCUAGAGUACGGAAGAGGCGAGUGGAAUUCCUGGUGUAGCGGUGAAAUGCGCAGAUAUCAAGGAGGAACACCAAUUGCGAAGGCAGCUCGCUGGACGUCACUGACGCCUGGAGACGCGAAAGCGUGGGAGCAAACAGG